AUGUUCAACUCUGCAGACAUGGUCUUUUCAUUGGAUAAUUUAUUUUAUGAAAGACCAGAUACAAGACAAAGGUAUCUAGAAAAUGAAGAGCCUAAGAUUUGGUCUAUUGCACCUGCUCCAGCUAUUGCUGAAAUUCCAGCUGCAGAGGACUUACAGAGGGAACUGGAAAGAAAUACAGCCAACACUCAUACGGGAACUACAGGAAGAAAACUGGAAAUUUUGAGGAGUGUUACAGAAAUACCAACCCAAUUUAGAAGUAUCUUUAAGGAGUUCCCAUAUUUUAACUAUGCACAGUCUAAAGCUUUGGAUGAUCUUCUUUAUACAGAUAGGAAUUUUGUGAUUUGUGCUCCGACUGGCUCUGGAAAAACUGUAAUGUUUGAGCUAGCUAUUACCAGAUUACUCAUGGGAGCCCCACUGCCUUGGUUUAACAUUAAAGUUGUUUACAUGGCUCCAAUAAAAGCUCUAUGCAGUCAGCGUUUUGAUGAUUGGAAAGAAAAAUUUGGACCUAUAGGACUCAGCUGCAAGGAAAUAACAGGAGAUACAGUGAUGGAUGAUUUAUUUGAAAUACAUCACGCUCACAUUAUUAUCACUACACCUGAAAAAUGGGAUAGCAUGACUAGAAGAUGGAGAGACAACUCUAUAGUCCAGCUUGUACGACUGUUUCUCAUUGAUGAGGUGCACGUUAUAAAGGAUGAAAGUCGUGGUGCAACGUUAGAAGUUGUAGUCAGUCGGAUGAAGACUCUUCAGUCUUCUCUUUGUCAUCUUAUAGAGAAACAUGACACUAUUCCGCCCUUGAGAUUUGUAGCAGUUUCUGCAACAAUCCCAAACGCUGAAGAUGUAAGAGUUACAUUUUAA
rnacentral:lncRNA from 1 species